ACAUGGGAUUGGAGAGUGACCU
rnacentral:miRNA from 1 species